rnacentral:snRNA from 1 species
GCGCUUGUUUGGGCAGCACGUAAACUAAAACUGGAACGAUACAGAGAUUAGCAUGGCCCCUGCGCAAGGAUGACACGCAAAUCCGUGAAGCGUUCCGUAUUUUU